CCGGGCAAAGGAAGAACAAAGGAAGAAAAGAAAGAACAAGAACUCUAGGGUGAAAAUUCAAGGGAAAAGUGUGAAAAUUCAAGUAAUUAAGCAAUCAAAGGUAAAAUUUCUUGAUUUUGACUUGUGAUCUACCUUUCCCAUGCAUUAUUUUGCAUUUUCCAUGGUUGAAUCACAAGAUAUCAUGAAGGAUUCAUGGCUUACCGAAUUUAGAGAGAGAAGAUUUGAUGAUUUAUUUGGUUAGAUUUUGAGAUAUUUUAGUGUUUAUAGUUGAUUUAUCAUGUUUGGAAGGAAAACAAGAAAAAUCACAUGUUCUUCAUGGAUUUUUCAUUGGUCGAAUUUUCCAUGUAGAGUGUGGAUGAUGAUUUUGAUUUUAUUUCAAGUGAAUUGGUUAGGAAAUGAUGAAUUACGGUGAGAAAAUCAAGUAGGAAAAAUCAUAGUAUUGAUGCACCCACCAUGGUCGAAUUUUCCAAGAGAAAAUGUGAGGAUGAUUUUGCCAUAUUUCAAGUUAUUUAAUUUGUGUUUGAUGAUUUGGAGUAUUGGGAGAAAAAUGAAAUUAUUUGGAAUUGAAUUGGACAUAUUGGCCAAUUAAUAGAGUGAUAGAUCGAAUUAGGCCAAUACCAUGUAAUUUAGGUACACAAUUGAAUUUGUAUAGAACCCCGUGUUUAGACAAUAAUCCAAACAAUUUGCAUCCCAUUUCAUACAUUAGUAUAAAGCCUGAAUUGGUUUUAUAACAAUUUAGCACAAUGUAGUAAAUGGCUUAUUGUGCAUUAUGUCUAGGUGAUGAGCAUUUUGGCAAAAGUAAAGAAAUAGUACCUAAGGAUCAAGAAUCGGAGUACUUGGAAUUCGACUCUCGAAAUUGUGAGUAACCUUAUAUCAUCUUAAUUAUCUAAAGUAUGUUUUAUUCAAUUUUGUGAAUUUUAUGGAAAAUGAAUUAAAUGAUUAAUUUUUCGGUUUUAUAAACAAAAUGUGAUUUAAUGAAAUGAUUUCAUAAAAUUGUUUUAAAACUGAAUGAUGAUUUGAAAAUAGAGUAAUUGAAGACUGUUUUUAUGUGUUGUAAAUUCAUGAUUCUAAUUGAUUGGCUUAUGGCAAUAUUGGCAUGAAUGGUUGAUUUGAUAAAUGUGUUGGAAAUGUAUAAAUUGUUGAUUUGCCUUGAAAGGCUGUAAAAUAAAAUAAAAUAAUUGCCAUGUCAUGCUAUUGCAAAUUUUAUUGUAUGGUGGGUUUAACUUGCUGCAGUGGGUGGGUUUUCUGUGGACCAGCCUAUUAGAAGGGCACGGAAUCCCGUUAUAUUUUACCUUGGUUGGAGAGGCGAGUAGGGUAACUCCCGAGGUAUAACUUUAGAGUUCACUUCACGCUAAACCACCACGUGAGGGUGAACUCAACCAACGCCAAGGAACGGCUAUGUUUUCAAAAUAGAAACAUGAUUUAUGCGUACAUAACUUUUUAACGGCCUUGGCGGACUCGGUUGGGAUAACCCUCGAUCAAGGUAUCCCUGAUAACUGGGUAUAAAAAUGAUUUUGGCACGAGCCAAAGUUUUAAGAAAUUCAUAAGCCAUGUUGAUUACUCGAUUUAUAUGAAUUGAUUUUAUUUGGUUAAAACAAGUUGAAAGGUGAUGAAUUACAGUAUGCUAAUCUAUUUUAUCUAUCUCUAUUUACUCAGCUUUAGAUAUUUUAGAUGGUAUUUGUUUACUCACUGGGAUUAUAUAAUCUCACCACCCUUCUUUCCACCCAUUUCAAGCUCAGAAUAGGUUUUAGAUAGCUGAUUUCAUCGAGGCUACCAUUAGAUUUGCAUCCUCCAAACUGUAGGUUCACACUCUUCCUUACUUUUAGUUAUUCGGGGGCCCACUGGUUAUUAUAAAUUAAAUUAAAUACUCUGGCUUACUAUAUUACAGUAUGCAUGAAUUUAUUUUGCUUUUACGCUGCCAUGAAAAAAUUUAUUUACGUAUAACUCUAAAAAUAUUAUUUUAUAAGAAAAUAGAAUAUUUUAUUGAAUAUUUCUUUUAUUUUUUAUUUAUAUGCAAAUAAUCAUAAUUUUAUUUUAAAUGAAGGUUUUAGAUGUUUAAACUUAUAUUUUAUUAUGAAUUAUGUGUUUUGUACUCACAUACUACAUUUUUCACAGGUUUCAAAAUUUUUAGGAAAAAAUGACUAAAAUACCCCUGUGAGACGAAAAUUAUUUUUUUAUUGUUUUAAGUUGGAAAUAGUUUAAAAUCUUUUAGAACGUGAUAUUUAGCAAUGGUUACUCAUAGGGGAAAUGAGAAAUUGAUAUUAAAGCCUUGCAGGGUUUUGUUUGACAUUUCGAGUAAUGAGUGUCAAUCGGGACAUCGCGGCACUUGUCAAGGGCUCGAGGGGAGUUCCGGGUCGUGACACCCCUUUUUUCACUUAGGUGCCCUGCUUCUUGCUGCAGCAAGAAUGCUUUCUCGCUGCAGCAAGAAACAUUCUGUUCUGGCAGCAGAAAACUCACUGCAGAGAAAAUAAAUCUCGCUAUAGCAAGAAACUCUCGGGUUUUGAUGCAGUGCCUUCACUUUGAUAAAGAUUUUGACCACCUUCCCGUCGGAACUGGGAAAAGUGGUAACAUCAAAGUUGUAACCCUGCCUCUUAUCUUUCUAAUGGUCUAAAAAUAAGGUCAAUUGAACUUCUGUAGCUAGAGAUAUUCCAGAAAAAGGAAACAUAUGCAAACUGGUACUGUUUCUCUCUGCAGCGAGAAUGAACUUCGCUGCAGUGAGAAACAUUUUGUCCCACAUGCUACCCUAUUCGAUAUUUGACAUAUUUUUCACCCAUUUAACUUCAUGGAUUGAUCAUGGGUUGUUGCCACACUAUGAGGUUAUUAAUCAAAGUUUGAAAUGAGGGGUUUUUAGUAAGAAAUUAAAUCAAUUGCAUUGUUUUAGAAACAAGUGCAUCAUGAUUUCCAAAUUCUUCCUAUUGAUUGCUUGUUCCCUUCUUAUGUUCACUCAUUGAGUUUUAUACUCACGUUUUUAAAAUUCAUGUUUUCAGAUUUGGAGGCAGUUGGGACCUAGAUUGAGUUGCACACAUAUGCUCGCUUUCUUGGUAGGUAUUAAGGCAUCUCAGUAGCCGCAUCUUCACUGUGGUCACUCCGCUGGAAGUUAAGAGCCAUUUUGUUUUAUGAGUACAUUCAUGUGAUGUAAAAUACUAAGAUACGUGUCUUAGAUGAAAUAUGUAUAUUUUAACUAUUAAUGCCACCAUGAGUUGAAAUGUUAACAUCAUUUUGGGUUUAUAUUAAUGAAAUUCUUGAUUGCUAUAGCCCAUUAUUAAAGUGAUUAUAAGUUGAAAUUAUGAAAGGUGACUUGAGAAUAUUUGAUGGGAUGUUAAGCAAGACUACAUAAUAGGCUUGCUUGGGCUUGGUGGGCUAUGCCCAUUGGGGCCAAGCGCCGAUCAUGGCCCAAAAAUUUGGGCUAUGACAAAGUUGGUAUCAGAGCUCUAGGUUUAGUCGAGUCCUAGGGAUUCUUGUGUCAGUCAACGUAGUUGUCGGAGUUAAUGUAGAGUCUUGUUUAUGGUUUGUGACUACAGGACAAUUCAUAGACAAGAGGCUAUAUGAGCUCUUAUUCCUUGUAACCUACCCUCUUGCUAAUGGUCAUAAGUGGUACCGUUGUCCGGGUUUAAGAUACCACUCGAGAUACGAGCUGUUGUUGGAAAGCUUUUAAGCAAAUGCUCCUAAUGAAAGGCUAAUGUAAUAACAAAUUCCUCCAAUUAAAGAUGGAGGAAAUUGGAGUUGGACUAAUAGGUCCAUAAUGACUUAUUCAUUUAGUGGAGUUAUAACUUAAGCCCAUAAUUGUCAAUGGGAAGAAAUUUGAUGAACAUGGACGGUAUUUGAGGUCAAUAUAAAAGAGCCCAUGUGAUAAUGGUAAUAAAGGAUAUACUUUGAUCGGAACAAAUAGCGAUGAUUGAGAUUCACUUGAAGCUUGUACAUCUAAGUAUUAAGGGAGGAGUAAAUUGAUACCCACGUGCACGGAGGCAAGUGCACUAUGUUGAUUAAGCUUGCCCUGCCCUUAUAUAUAAUGGAGUCAGACUUCCAAAAUAUUUUAUAUGCGAAAAUGUGCUGAAUAUGUGUGUAGUAGCCUAGAUGGAGUUGGUUUUGAUUCUAAUUAAGUAGCUGUGAGAUUCCAAGGCUUGAAUUGAAUUAUUGUGGUUUAUGGUUAUAAUUGUAUGAAUUAGCUCAAGGGUAAAAAUCACAGAUUAAUAUAAUUGAUGUAUGGUCAUGAAGUAAAAGGCUAGCAAAUGAUCUACUCUAAGGAUGAGCUUGAAUUUUGCUAUGCUUAGUGUGCAGCCGAAGGAUUAAAGGACUAGAUUGGAUUUAGUAGUUUGAAAUUAAAUGACAUGGAAAUGACAAAUUUAGUCUAAGUGCCAGAUGGAGUUCUAUAUGAAGAUUGAUAUAUGAAUUGCUUUGAAGGUCAAUUUAAAAAAAUAGUUGGUUCAAUAUGCAACCUAUGAUGUAAAUGAUUUAUCUUGAAUGUGACUUAUCCAAAGGUAAGGGACUUAAAACGUGUGGAUUUUCGGAUAUGCUCUAAGAGGAAGUUUCUGCAUCCCAAGCUUAAGAAAUUUUGAUCUUAUGACUGCAAAGGCAAGAUACAAAAAAGUUAUGUGAAUUGUUUAUCUUAUGGAUGUAAUUGGUUAAGAAUUGAUGAGUAAAGUCAAGAUCUUAACACUAAGUGGUGUACAAUUUGAUAUAUGUGUACCUAAGAGUAAAUUUGGAGAUCAUUGCUUAAUCAAUUUGCACUGAAUGUUGUGGUAAAGGUAUAUGAAUGUUAGUAGUGAAGUAUGCCCAAGGUGAGAUAUGUUGAGACUAAUGUUCCAAUUGCAAACUUGUGAUAGAAAGCUAGUUUUGCAAAUUGUGGUUUUUAUGACCAUGAAAAAUAUGGAGGUUAUCAAUAUGUAGGCAUACACUUGGAGUUGUACAUCUUGUGAUCCCCAUGCAUCAUAUGGAAGGAGAUAUCCCUUAGGAGAGUUUAUCUUGAUUUAUGGUUACAUGCCUAUGGGCUUGGCAUGAGAUUGAGAAUGCCCUGGCAUAAAUGUGGAAUGUAUUGUGAAAGGUUGAAAAGCCACAUAUACCUUAACAAGGUUAAUAACAUGAAUGAGGGGGAAAUAUGAAUGUUGAUAUGCUGAGCAUAAAAAGCUUAAGGAUAAUUAAUGCAAUUAUACUAAGUUAGAUGGUAUGAUCCUAACUAAGAACAAGGACACCUUGGGAGAUUUUAAAAUAAUGUCCAAUGGGGUCAGUGAGCUAAAGUGUUAUCGGGCAUACAAUAAACGAUUAAAGUUAUGAGUGGCUUUGAAGAUAAGCCUUUGAUUGAUUAAGUUCUCAAUGGAACCCUAUUAAAGGAAGUGUUUAAGUGUUUUGGAAAUGUAUGGAAAAGCAUAAGAGAAUAUAUUAGCUUGACUUGCUAUAAGAGGUCGAAUUUGGAUGGCCAUGAGUAGCUUGUGAACAAUCAAGUAGUGUAAAGUAUGUGCUCAUAAAGGGAGCUAUGAUUGGUAGAUAAAGGUGGAACUUUAGAAUUUCAUUGUCAUAGUUAUUAGAUUAUAUUUUGUAUUAUAAUAUAGUGCAAAACAUCAAUGAUGAGGUUGUGUUCAAUGCUUUAAGCCUUGAACUAUAAAAUAUGGACAUGUAUCCACCUUAUGAAUACCUUGAUAAGAUAAAUUCGAAAGACUUUUCAUAAUGAGAAAACAUUAAAGCUCAAAGAGCAAAUGGCUAUACAGUCAAGUUGGGCUCGUGACUGACAUGUCACAUAAGUAUGAAGAUAUGAUACAAGCAUAAGAAUACUUGGAAAUACUAGUUUGAGGCAAUGAUUAUCCUAUUGUUUUGUGGACUCGAUGAGGUUCUGGUCUCGACAUAACUGUAGACGCAAAGCAUAAAUUGUGAAAUGUGCUUCCCCACAAGUUCCAAUUUAUUUUGAGUAACUAUCAAGAUAAAGUGCCCGAUAGGGAUAGUGGAAGGUUGAAUUAUACUUCAAAUGUUGAGAAAAAUAGGGUGACAUGGUUUGAUUAAAUGAUACUACCCUUGGUAAGGGAAUAGAAAUAUGUUAUGGGAAUUACGAAAAUCUACUUAGAAAAAAAAAAGGAUGAUGAUUUGAAAAUUCACGUACUCGUAUAUGAGUAAAGAUUUGGUAAUGAGACAUGACCUAAAGUUGGAAUACUACAAUAUAAAUUUUGACUAAGAAGAUCAACUAAUAAAACACUUGGUGUUUGGAGAUGGUGCCAAUUAGUGGUUGACUCUUGUAUGAGAAUGGAAUAUUGAAAUCAGCUUUGUGUAUUCACCACAAAUGAUGAGCAUGAUCUAACCAACCAAGAGAAGAAAUGAUUCUAAACUUGAUUAUUGAUUAUUUUGGUUUUACAGAUGACUUAUUGAGCUUGAUAUGCCUAAGGCUAUUCAAAGUUAAAAUUUUUGGAAAUAUAUCUGUAUGGAUAUAUAUGUUGCAUAUUGGUAUAAAAGCUCAUGCGGAGUUAGUUAUAAUUUGAUUCGAUGAUGAUAUUCUAUCAAUGGUUAUAGUGCUAGACAAUGAUUAAGAUAAUUUAUUGCUAAUUUUGGUAGUGAACAAGUGGAUUAUAAUGCUAUUAGCUUAAAAGUAAGUGUUUAUACUUUUGGUAUGAGUUCAUCAAAUUCUAUUAUAUCAUGAUAAAACUUGGUGUUUUGAUAUAGCCUGAGAGGCUUGGUAUAUGACCUAGCUUAAUUGUGAGCUAGAAAUUGUUAGGCUAUUAUGAAGUACAUAAAUAGAAAAGUAUGACAUGAAUUUAAUAUCCUAAGGCCAAUGAAAAAUGAUGUAUCAGUUUUGGUAUAGCUCUAAUAUAUAGUUUUGAUAUAUGAAGAUUUGGGGAAAAGUUUAUAGCUUAUGCAUGGAGGUGUGCAUUUGAAUUCAUGUAAUUAAAAGUGUAAAAUCUGCCUUGAUUGGCAUAAAGCCCAUGAUUCAAAAUGGAGGAUUAUAGAUUUAAUUUUCUAAGGUAAAAAGGGCUAAAGAAGUUAAUUUCGGAAAGGUCUUAGUAAAUGAUUCCUUGAUUUUAAAGUGCACUUAAGGAAAGAUAAAUGUUGAAUUCAUCUUCAGAUUGAAAAACUAAUGAGGCCAUGAGAUCUGGCAAUUGGAAUAAAUUUGAGGAAUUUUAAGUUAGAUAUGUUGUAUGUGAUUGAUGAUGAAUAAACUAGCUAUGACAUUGGAAAUAUAGAAACGGUUAGUAAUCAAGAUAAGACUUGGAAAAGAACUUUAAAGGAAAAUUUUGAGCAACUUUAACCUUGAGAGCUUGAGUUAUUGAUUAAAGAGAUUAAUUAAGAUCAUAAGGAUGUAUGUGAAUGUCAUGAUUUAUUGAAAUGCCUCGUGGUAUAAGUUAAGAUUUAUCUAAUGAGCACUUGAUCAUGAAAGUAUUGGAAUUUGUUUUUGGGAAUAUGGUUACUAAUGGUUACCGGAUUUGAAUCAUCCGUGAUGUUAAACAUAUAUGAAUAAAUAAAGAGUGUUUGAUCCUUAUGUAUUAUGAAAUGCUUGAAUGGAAUUUGUAUGGAGGUAUGUGAAACGGAAGAGAGGUUGGUUAACCAUUUAGACCCAUAGUCAAUGGUGGAAUAAAUGCUUGAAUGUUGGAAGGUUUGAUAAAAGAUCAAAGUGGAGGAAUUGUGGAUGGUUAAGUAAACAUGCAUGAUUGAUGAUUUAAAGAUGAUUUGAUUGAGGUGUGACCAGAAUUAAUAGCAUAUUUGAAUUCUCUUCAUAAGAUAAAGAAUGAUACUGUUUUGAUCCAACAAGAGUAGUACACAUAAUUAUAUAUUAUGACAUCGUUGACUUUUCUAUAAAGAUUGGAAGUUGAUAUAAUGCAUAAACCAAGAUUCCAUGUUAAGAAUGCCCGACGAGAGUGAUGUGGCAGAACUUGAGAACUUUGAUUAUUCACCCUACGUCGAUUUGAAUUCGAGGAGGUAACAUGGGAGGCCGAGGAGGAGAUGCAGACGAAGUAUCCCCACCUCUUUGAUGCUUAGAGGUACGUUACCUUAUAGUUAAAUUUAAAUUCGGGGAUCGAAUUUUUAUUAGUGGGGGAGAAUGUGAGACCUCAACCCCUAUAGGCUCAUAACGAGGCAUAGGCGUAAUAACCCAAGCUGGGGGUAGUUUUGUCAUUUCCUCUAAUAAGUUCCCAGAAAGAACUUUUCUGAUAUUUAAGGUCUAAAUAAGCAUAAAGACCAAAUAAAUGAUGCAUAAUGAAGAAAACAUGAAGAAAACUAGAAGUUUCAAUAAUUUUCACCACAAGGGCAAAAUAGUCAUUUUUCACAUCGGGUCAAAAUUUUUAAGUUUCGUAAACCCGAGCAUGUCUAGACCAUUAUGGACUUGUUUUAGUAUCAAAAAAGUAAAAAGAUUGCACCAAGGAUUGAAGGAGAACAAGUUAAUGUGCUAAGGGCAUUUUCAUAAUUUCAAGUGGAAUGGAUAAGCUUGAGCUAUAAAUAUCUUUUUCUUUCAGUAGCUUCUUUGUAAAGACCCCUCUUUAGUCGCUACCGACGUUCGAGACCUCCGAGAGAUCCCGCUAAGUCUCGAACAAGCCUGAAAAAAAAUUUCUCCAUAACUCAUUGUACAUUUUUACUAAUCCGUACUAGUAUUUGAACCAUAUAUAUAUAUAUAUAUAUAUACUUAUAACUUAAAAUUUCACAAGAAGCAUAGCCAUUAAAUUUUGACUUUAAAUCAUAAUAUCACAAUUAAAUACAUUGAGUUCAAGAAUCUAAAAUUUAUGUUUUUAUCAAAACUAAUAUUUGUUUACAUAGUAAAAUCAAAGUACUACAACUCAAUCUCUAACAGUGAAGCGACUCAGAAUAAAAGGCCAUGAGAUGCCUUUACCUAUUUACGGUGAGCCGAACGCACUGAUGAUUACUCGUUAGGUCGAUCCUUGUCUGCAAAAGAGGGAAAAGAGGGGUGUGAGUCUCACAGACUCAGUGAUCAUCGGCUCCGUGAGUAGGGCGUAGAUGGGAAACAAGCAAUAGCAGAUCAGUUGAAUAUAAAAAUACAAGAUUACAAAAACAAUUUAUUUCAAACAGGAGUUUGUGCCUUAUAUGAAAAACAGAGGAUUUCUUAUGCAUUGUAAACACUUCAAUUGGUAAAUCAACCAAGGUAGAUAAAAACUUUACUAUAAAACAGAUCAAUAACCUUAUUCAAGUCAAUCAUUUGAAAUAUUGAAUUAAAAUAAUUUUACAUGAAGAAAAUUUCGUCGUCAAAAUCAAUUAACAUUUUACUCAAAUCAAAUCAGUAUAUUCGGCAACCUCCCAUGAAAUCGAAUGUUAAUCAAACUCAUACGUAAAUCAUAAAUCACCUCGCACCGGAGGAGUUAAAAUUCAUUUCACCAUAAAAAUAAGGGGAGCUGCAGAAAAACAGUUAAAUUCUGUUUUCACCAUGUAAAGAAAUAUGAGUUUAAAAACCUAGAGAUGCCACUCUUGAGUAGGGAAUGAAAAUAAACCUGUGGUCUCACUACCACGUAAUAACAUCUGGGAGCAUCGCUUCCACCGGAUUCCCAUGUGCCAUGGCAGUCUCACGAUGUUAGCCGACAUCGGAGAAGCAAACGGUCGUAACUGUGUAAUCAUCUGGUGGCCUAGCCAUGCAUACAUAUAUCACAGGCCGUGGCCCCAACCAUGCCUAACCAUUUGUCGGUGACCCAAUGGUUCUCUAGCUAGAGCUCACUCAUGCACGAGGGUCACACUUAACCGAAGUGACAACCGGCCUACUCUCGAAUCUCUCGGUUUGUAAAACGAUUUUGAAAUUGUAUUAUGUCCUUAAAAGCUCGUCUCAAAAUUAUUUCCAAAGUAUUCAACACAAGGUAUGAUAAAAUCUAUUAUCAUUUUCAUAAAAUAAAAUUUGUGCAUGAAUUUCGAAACAAUAACUCGCUUGGUAACUAAACAUUAUAAUCAUGGAUGCACACUGCACAAAUAUAAGGCACAGAUUUUGAGGCAAAACAGUGCGAAGGGCUUGUUUCCCCAUUUUGGAAACACUUUACAUAUAAUUUAUACAUAUAUAUUCAAAACGAUUUCUAAACAUAAUUUGCAUUCACAAUUCUCUAAAAUUGCUACCAGCACAUGCUAUCCACAAUUUUCGCAUUUAAAAUAAAUAAUACCUAUAAAUAUAUAUUUACGAAAAUUUUAAAAUGGACACCCCCUACUCACCUCAAAAUAGCGGGAUGUUACGUCGCUAUUAAUUCAAAGGCGUAUCGAGCUACUCCUUCUUACCAGUAGUUCGUUAUUUCCUUCAACCUUUCACCACAGUGCACCAUUUAUUUAUUUCUCCUAAAUAUUAAAACCCACAUAAUUAAUAUAUCUAUUUUUUAUUCUAACAUCAUUAUUAUAUAUAUUUUUAUUAUUUUCUUACCUUUCUUUCCUGUUUCUUCCUCUCUCUUUUACUCGUUUUUCUCUUCCUUUCUUCUCCCUCCUUUCAUGCACCAAUUGACUGCACUUUCUUCCUCUCUUUCUCUCACCGUCAGUAGCUCUCAACCUUCACUAUUGGCGGCUUGAAGCCUCCUCUCCACUUCCACCAUUGGUCAGCUCUAGAUUAGUCCAAAGAACUCAAAUUUUCUCUCUUUUUAUUCAGCCAUUUUGUCACCAAAAACCAAGCUCUCUCUCUCUUUUUUCGUCAACAACCGCAACCCAACUCUUUCUCUUUUUCUUUCCUCAAAAUCCAGCAGUAACUUAGCUUUCUUUUCCCUUAAAAUUUGUAGCAAAAAUCUUCUCUUUUGACUCCUCUAAGUGGCAGCACAAAUCUCUCUUUCUCAACUUACUCUUUCUUUUUUUUUUCCUCCUUUCUUUCUCUGCUUCUCUCGUUUUUUAGCCGACCUUCUCUCCCUUUUUAUUUCUCUCCAUUUGCUCCUGUUAAGAAGGAAAAAGAAAGAAUAACUUUCAUGUGGAAGCGAGAAAAGAAUGGACAUGACAACUUUUGUCCUUUUCUCCCUUCUUUCAUUCAAUCUUUCUUUCUUUUUUGUUACUCUUUGCCGGCCCCUGCCAUCAUUCACCAUAAAAAGAGAGAGUUUUUAUUAUUUUACUAUUACUUUGACUCUUAAUAAGUCACAUGCAGCCAUCCAUUCUUAUCUUCUCUCUUUUCAUCUUUGUUUCUUAUUUUCCUUAUUCAAUUCUUUCUUUCCUCUUUUAAAUGGCCAGCCCCCCACUCUUUUAUGUCUUCCAUUUCUUGUUCAAUCACUUCACACAAAUAAAUUUGCUUGACUACUAUACGGGAUUAUGGGGUGUUACAUUCUUCAUUCUCCAGUAGCUUCUUCUCUUUCUUCUUCUUCCAUCUCAUGUUGCUUCCAUCCUCCAUGGAAGCAUGGUUGAAAACUUCAUAACUUUCUCUCUCUAGCUCCAAAUUUCAUGCUUUUGCCCACUCUUUCAUACGGUUUUUCAUGCUUUUCCACUUUUACACCUUAAAACCCUAAAAAAGUCUUUGUUCAAAACUUUCUCUCACUAAUUGAAAGUUUUAGAGAGAGAAAGAGGAAGCUUCCAUAGUAGCUUGACAAUUUUUGGAAAGAAUUUCAAUUAUAAAGCUACCAAGGUGAGUAGUGAACUAUAGUUGAUUUUUAAGUAUUGAGAAUGUCUAGUAAUUAGAAUUGUGAGAGUUUAUUUGUUGGGAUUAUUAUUCAUUUUAGUGUGACUAGAGAAUUGCAAACAAUAGCCAUUUAAUGGUGGUUGGAAACCAGUUAGGAAUGACUAGUAGAACCCAAUUUAGAAAAUAGUUUUGGAAUGGUAUUAAUUCCAAUUUGGGUUGGUUGUGAUGUUGUGUGUAUAGGUUCCAAUAAGGCCUCACAUGUCCAUUUAGAGCAUUAGUUGAGAUUAGAGUCAAGCAAAAGAAUCAACAAGACCAGUGAGUGAACUGCCUUCAAACUUAUUUUGGGGAAUAUAAUGUAUUUGCCACACAUUUGAAUGAAUUAUCAAGUUUCUCAUAAAAACAUGAGCUUUGGGAACAAGCUUUUGCUAAAUGGUUUUAUGUUGUGAUAUGUGAUUGCUAUGGAUUCAUGCACUAUUGCAUUAUGAUGAUAUAUAUAUGUGUAUUGUGCAUGAUGAUUGAUAUUGUGUAUGAUGACUGUAACCGUGUGUGUGUGCACGAUGUGGGGGGAUGCACAUGCCAGUGAUGAUGGUGGCGUGAGAGAUGGAUGAUGAUAAUGCCCGUGUGCACGAUGUGGGGGGAUGUACACGAUGGCACUGAUUGUGCACGAUGUGGGGGGAUGCACAUGAGCUGGGUGUGAUUAUGAUGAUAUUGAUGUUUAUCUAUGUAUUAUGCAUAUCUAUGCUUAUGAAAUGAAAGUUCAUGAAUAUGAUAUAUGAUUGAAAUGCAUGUGAAAUUUGGCAUGAUGGAUCUUGAGAAAUUCCCAUUUUCUUGCAAAUUGAUCUUUAUUGCAGCACCAAAUGGAUUUUUGUGCAAAAAAGGCCUUUUUUUUCACUUAGGUGCCCUGCUUCUUGCUGCAGCAAGAAACAUUCUAUUUUGGCAGCAGAAAACUCGCUGUAGCGAAAAUAAAUCUCGCUGUAGAGAGAAACUCUUGGGUUCUAAUGCUGUGCCUUCACUUUAAUGAAGAUUUUGACCACUUUUCCCUUCGAACUGGGAAAAGUGGUAAACAUCAAAGUUGUAACCCUACCUCUUAUCUUUCUAAUGAUCUAAAAAUAAGGUCAAUUAGACUUUUGUAACGGGAGAUAUGCGAGAAAAAUAAAAAUAUAUGCAAACUAGUAUUGUUUCUCACUGCAACGAGAAACAUUCUGUCCUACAUGCUACCCUAUUCAGUUUUUGACAUAUUUUUCACCCAUUUAACUUCAUGGAUUGAUCAUGGGUUGUUGCCACACUGUGAGGUUAUUAAUCAAAGUUUGAAAUGAGGGGUUUUUAGUAAGAAAUUAAAUCAAUUGCAUUAUUUUUGAAACAAGUGCAUCAUGAUUUCCAAAUUCUUCCUAUUGAUUGCUUGUUCCCUUUUUAUGUUCACUCACUGAGUUUUAUACUCACGUUUUUAAAAUUCAUGUUUUCAGAUUUGGAGGUAGUUGGGACCUAGAUUGAGUUGCACACAUAUGCUUUCUUUCUUGGUAGGUACUAAGGCAUCUUAGUAGCCGCAUCUUCACUGUGGUCACUCCGCUGGAAGUCAAGAGUCAUUU
rnacentral:lncRNA from 1 species